rnacentral:rRNA from 1 species
AUUCAUGUCUACCACCCUGAACAUGCCCUAUCUUGUCUGAUCUUGGAAGCUAAGGAGGGUCAGGCCAGGUUAGUACUUGCAUGGGAGCCCUUCUUUUUAAUUGUUCAUGCUGAUU